rnacentral:rRNA from 1 species
AUGGCGGCGCCCAGGCCCAAGUCCCCGCUCGACCCCUGCGGCCGCCACCGCCUGCAGCUCGCCGUCGACGCGCUCCACCGCCAGAUCAGCUUCCUCGAGGGGGAGAUCAAUUCCAUUGAAGGGCUCCAUGCUGCCUCCAUAUGCUGCAAAGAGGUCGAUGAGUUCAUAGGAAAGAAUGCCGAUCCAUUCAUAACGAUUUCAUCUGAGAAGGGAAACGCCGAGCAAUCUCAUCCCUUCCCAAAGAAGAUCCGAACCCGGUGGGCGUGUUUGAGCUGCUUCCCGUGGAUCUGCGGCGGUGGGUGCUCCGCCGUCCAGCUCAAGGGGCCGAGCUGCUGCUGCGGAUGCCCCCGGUGCUGCGCGGGGAGCGGGGGCUGCGGCGGCGGACCCUCGUGUGGCUGCUCAUGCUCCUGCGCCGGUUGCUCCUCAUCUUGCGCGUGCCCUGCCUGUGCCGGCUGCGGCACCGUGUGCUGCGGCGGCGUCCCUCGCCCUCGCUGCUGCCUGUGUUCAUGA